rnacentral:rRNA from 1 species
GGGAAACAACCCAGACCGCCAGCUAAGGUCCCAAAGUCAUGGUUAAGUGGGAAACGAUGUGGGAAGGCCCAGACAGCCAGGAUGUUGGCUUAGAAGCAGCCAUCAUUUAAAGAAAGCGUAAUAGCUCACUGGUCGAGUCGGCCUGCGCGGAAGAUGUAACGGGGCUAAACCAUGCACCGAAGCUGCGGCAGCGAACGUAUCACUUAAAGCGAUUCAGCGGAUGACGAUUGACGGAGCGAAGCGACGUCAAAGCGUAUACAAAGUCGAGUCGGUUUAAGGAUACGUUCGUUGGGUAGGGGAGCGUUCUGUAAGCCUGCGAAGGUGGCCUGUGAGGGUUGCUGGAGGUAUCAGAAGUGCGAAUGCUGACAUAAGUAACGAUAAAGCGGGUGAAAAGCCCGCUCGCCGGAAGACCAAGGGUUCCUGUCCAACGUUAAUCGGGGCAGGGUGAGUCGACCCCUAAGGCGAGGCCGAAAGGCGUAGUCGAUGGGAAACGGGUUAAUAUUCCCGUACUUGGUGUUACUGCGAAGGGGGGACGGAGAAGGCUAUGUUGGCCGGGCGACGGUUGUCCCGGUUUAAGCGUGUAGG